GCUCGUAGGCGGUUUGUCGCGUCUGCUGUGAAAUCCGGAGGCUCAACCUCCGGCCUGCAGUGGGUACGGGCAGACUAGAGUGCGGUAGGGGAGAUUGGAAUUCCUGGUGUAGCGGUGGAAUGCGCAGAUAUCAGGAGGAACACCGAUGGCGAAGGCAGAUCUCUGGGCCGUAACUGACGCUGAGGAGCGAAAGGGUGGGGAGCAAACAGGCUUAGAUACCCUGGUAGUCCACCCCGUAAACGUUGGGAACUAGUUGUGGGGUCCAUUCCACGGAUUCCGUGACGCAGCUAACGCAUUAAGUUCCCCGCCUGGGGAGUACGGCCGCAAGGCUAAAACUCAAAGGAAUUGACGGGGACCCGCACAAGCGGCGGAGCAUGCGGAUUAAUUCGAUGCAACGCGAAGAACCUUACCAAGGCUUGACAUAUACGAGAACGGGCCAGAAAUGGUCAACUCUUUGGACACUCGUAAACAGGUGGUGCAUGGUUGUCGUCAGCUCGUGUCGUGAGAUGUUGGGUUAAGUCCCGCAACGAGCGCAACCCUCGUUCUAUGUUGCCAGCACGUAAUGGUGGGAACUCAUGGGAUACUGCCGGGGUCAACUCGGAGGAAGGUGGGGAUGACGUCAAAUCAUCAUGCCCCUUAUGUCUUGGGCUUCACGCAUGCUACAAUGGCCGGUACAAAGGGCUGCAAUACCGCGAGGUGGAGCGAAUCCCAAAAAGCCGGUCCCAGUUCGGAUUGAGGUCUGCAACUCGACCUCAUGAAGUC
rnacentral:rRNA from 1 species